UGCUAUUUUGAACACAGCCAAUGUAAGAUUAGUAGUUGGAAUAGCUUUAAGAACUAGUAUGGGUUACUAGCAGCACAUCUAUCAGCUUAUCAAAACAUUUCAAAUGCUCAUGUCAUGAGAUGCAACUUUCCUGAGGAAACCGUCUUGUCGGUUUAAUAGAUUCAGUGUGAACACUACCAAGUUUGGUUUGUAGAUGUGGCUGAAGAGCAUUAAGCAUGUGUGAAAUGGUCGAAUCGUGUUCGCGUUUUCAAGGAUUUCAAAGGCUCACGGUGUACAGAGACCUGCAAACCUCCACCCACAAUCGCUCAGAUCUGCACAACCUUCCCUCUCAUGCUGUUUCUUGUCUCAUAUUUCGGCAGGCACAUUUCCCAUUUAAAGUUUAUUGUCGUUGUCAUUACCACAUCCGUCCACUUGGUGGUGGUGUUUCGCUGCUGUUUGAUAAGGAUGUUCAGUUUACCAACUACGUUUUCAUUGCAGCACAUGGGUAAGGGAGAUGACACUAUACGCGAGGCACUUCACCAUCUUAGAGACCUAAUGGAUUAUGCACAUCUCUUCACAUUUGACAUGAACCCAAUAUAUGUACCAAAUGUGCAUAUUGAAAGCGGAGAGAUGUGCAGCUGUAAAGAAUUCAUUGCUCAAGAGCUUCUCAAGACAUUAGUUUCAGCAGAAAUCACUGAUCAAGACGGCGCUGUCGAACCACGCACUGCCCUUAGACUCUUACAGCACAAUAUCAGAUUUCUCCUUCAGAAUUUGAUCGGAGAACACUGUCUAAAAGACAAAGUCAUGGUUCGCAAGGUUAAUUUGAGGACUAAUCAAGAGCUGAUGUUCAUCCGUCGAUGUUUCGCAUUUUUCCAAGACUGGAUGUCCAAAUGCCUAACCAGCAGUGACUUUUGAUUCAUUCACUUUGACUUCUAUUUAGUUGAUUGCAAUAAAUAGCUGUUUAAAUGUCUAUCUCUUGCUUUUAUACAGGAAAUGGCUUAACAGGACAACCUAAAAGUUGAAAUCUAAUAAUAAGUGCUUUCGACCACAUGUUACUAUGUGAUUUCUUUAAUAAUACUGCAAUAAAUAAUAAUGUGUGACCGUAA